AUGGAGAACGGCGGCAGCAAAGGCGACGUCCCGGAGGACGCCAACGCCCGUAAGUCUCGAUUAUCCCGUCCGUGUUCCCCCUUCUUCUUUGGAUUCGGGCCGAUUUGCCCGUCCGCGUUCUCCUGCUUUCUAGGUCGUCCUGCCAUGGAAGAAGGGGUGCCUUGUGAGCUUGAUUGUUUAUGUGCCUCUUGCUUAGAUUGCCCUGGAACGCAGUCGGAGGAGGCAGGGAAGGCCGAUUCCUGCGCCGGGUGCCCGAACCAGCAGAUUUGCGCCACCGCCCCCAAGGGCCCCGAUCCUGACUUGGUUGCUAUUGCUGAGCGGAUGGCUACUGUGAAACACAAGAUACUGGUUUUGUCAGGAAAGGGAGGUGUUGGAAAGAGCACAUUUUCAGCCCAGCUCUCAUUUGCCCUAGCUGAAAUGGACCAUCAGGUUGGCCUUCUCGACAUAGAUAUAUGCGGCCCUAGCAUCCCAAAAAUGUUAGGCCUUGAAGGCCAGGAUAUUCAUCAGAGCAACCUUGGGUGGUCACCAAUCUACGUUGAGUCCAACCUUGGUGUCAUGUCGAUUGGUUUUAUGCUGCCUAACCCAGAUGAUGCUGUCAUAUGGAGGGGUCCUCGCAAGAACGGAUUGAUCAAACAGUUUCUCAAGGAUGUUGACUGGGGAGAGAUUGACUACCUUGUAGUGGAUGCACCCCCUGGAACAUCAGACGAGCACAUCUCAAUCGUCCAGUACCUACAAGCCACCGAAGUUGAUGGCGCGAUAAUCGUGACGACCCCGCAGCAAGUUUCUCUAAUAGACGUGAGGAAGGAGAUCAAUUUCUGCAAGAAGGUGGGCGUGCCAGUGUUGGGGGUUGUGGAGAACAUGAGUGGCUUGAGGCAGGCGUUCACAGACCUUAAAUUCGUAAAGCCAGGUCUCGCCGGGGAGAUAGACGCCACAGAGUGGGCGAUGAACUAUAUCAAGGAGAAGGCUCCGGAGCUUUUGUCGGUCGUGGCCUGCAGCGAGGUGUUUGACAGCAGCAAGGGCGGCGCGGAGAAGAUGUGCCAUGAGAUGGGGGUACCUUUCCUGGGUAAGGUGCCGAUGGACCCGCAGCUGUGCAAGGCAGCCGAGGAAGGGAGGUCGUGCUUCGCCGAUCAGAGGUGCAGCGCCAGCGCACCGGCUCUGAAAAGCAUAAUCGACAAGCUGAUCAAAACCAAGUAA
rnacentral:rRNA from 1 species